CCUGGCCGCCGGACGUGUCAAUUUGGAGCGGAUACGCCUUCCUUGGAAAUGUGCUCAGUAGCUAACAGACAGAAAGCAAGUCCGGGUGUCGGAGUGGAGAAAGGGGAAACUAAGAAUGAAUCCGACAGCUAGUUUGUUCUUGGUCAUCAUCGCCAUGGCGAGUUGUCCAUGGUUAUUGUCGGUGUCGACCACCAUGAGAACUGUUGACCCAACCAAUGAGAUUGUGGACAAUAUGAAGUGCAGACUACUACUAAGGGACGACCGUGCACACACGUGCACUGUAUCAGGCGAUGACGUCUGCUGUUGUACCCCGGAGAAAGGAAACUUGUGUAUUGAUUUUGAAGGGAGACAUAAAUGUGAAGUGCUUUCUCAGAACUGUUACGUUAACAAUCUGCUGGGAUGCUGUCGGGACGGUGUCGUGUGGCAACCACAUGCGGUACCUGGACAGUAAAUUACAAGGUCAAACCUCAAGGACAACCACAUGUGGUACCGGAACGGAAGUUAACAAAUCACGGGGGCAUUGAAUUACUCCUUAUAUCUCAAUAUUACAGGUGUCUAUCAAUCACAAUCUAUAUAUUUGUGAACUAGUAAUAAUUCAAUAUAUACAUUAUAACGACUAGUUAUUAUAACUGUUACUAUUUACAACAGUGUAUCUUCUUUGUUCUAAAAGCGACUUCCUCGGAAAUAUUUGAAAAUUAAUAGAUUGUGUUGCCAAUGUAAAAAAAAUACCCUCUUCUGUUACUGCAUACUUGAAUAAAAUUAAGAGGAUUUAAAUGAA